rnacentral:tRNA from 1 species
UGUCCUAUGGUGUAACGGUAGCACUACAGAUUCUGGUUCUGUCUGUCAGGGUUCGAAUCCUUGUGGGACAA